UAAAGUAAAAAAUAAAAAAAGCUCGAUCUCGUGUGAUCUCAGAAGCUAAGCAGGGUCGGGCCUGGUUAGUACUUGGAUGGGAGACCGCCUGGGAAUACCAGGUUGCUGUAA
rnacentral:rRNA from 1 species